rnacentral:rRNA from 1 species
UGGAGGCAGCAGUGAGGAAUUUUGGACAAUGGGCGCAAGCCUGAUCCAGCCAUUCCGCGUGCAGGAUGAAGGCCUUCGGGUUGUAAACUGCUUUUGUACGGAACGAAAAGGCUUACUUUAAUACGGAGAGCUCAUGACGGUACCGUAAGAAUAAGCACCGGCUAACUACGUGCCAGCAGCCGCGGUAAUACGUAGGGUGCGAGCGUUAAUCGGAAUUACUGGGCGUAAAGCGUGCGCAGGCGGUGAUGUAAGACAGAUGUGAAAUCCCCGGGCUCAACCUGGGAACUGCAUUUGUGACUGCAUCGCUGGAGUGCGGCAGAGGGGGAUGGAAUUCCGCGUGUAGCAGUGAAAUGCGUAGAUAUGCGGAGGAACACCGAUGGCGAAGGCAAUCCCCUGGGCCUGCACUGACGCUCAUGCACGAAAGCGUGGGGAGCAAACAGGAUUAGAAACCCCUGUAGUCCU